rnacentral:misc_RNA from 1 species
UUUCCGUAGGUGAACCUGCGGAAGGAUCAUUCAUAAUAAAGUGUUUUAUGGCACUUUUUAAAAAUCCAUAUCCACCUUGUGUGCAAUGUUAGAUCUCGUCAAUCUUGGCGAGAUUUUUAUACAUCAACUCAUUCUUUAACUAAUUUGUCCGAAAAAUAUUAUGAAUACUUAAUUCAAAAUACAACUUUCAACAACGGAUCUCUUGGCUCUC